rnacentral:rRNA from 1 species
AACGAACGCUGGCGGCGUGGAUAAGACAUGCAAGUCGAACGGGAUUUGGUAGCAAUACCAAGUCUAGUGGCGUACGGGUGCGUAACACGUGAGUAAUCUGCCGAGAAGUGGGGGAUAGCUUGCCGAAAGGCAAAUUAAUACCGCAUGUGGCCAUUUUCCGAUUGGGGAAAAAGCUAAAGCAGCAAUGCGCUUCUUGAUGAGCUCGCGGCCUAUCAGCUAGAUGGCGGGGUAAAGGCCCACCAUGGCUAUGACGGGUAGCUGGUCUGAGAGGACGACCAGCCACACUGGAACUGAGACACGGUCCAGACACCUACGGGUGGCAGCAGUCGAGAAUUUUUCACAAUGGGGGAAACCCUGAUGGAGCGACGCCGCGUGGAGGAUGAAGGCCCUCGGGUCGUAAACUCCUGUCAUGCGGGAACAAGAAAGUGAUAGUACCGCAAGAGGAAGAGACGGCUAACUCUGUGCCAGCAGCCGCAGUAAAAC